GCAGAAGUUAGACUGGUGGCACUGUCCGGGCACAGGUGGAGGGAGAAGCCGCCACUUCUGCUGUCAGGAAAGGCCGCAGCAUGCAGAGGAACCAGCAUAAGCUUUGAAAUGAGGCGGACUUGGGCUCAAAGUCCCCAGUCACUUGAGACCUGCAUGAUCACGAGCAAGUUCCCUCACCUGGCUGAGGCUUUGUUUUCCCCGCUGUAAAGCAGAGAGACCUGCAGCACCCAGCUGUUGAGGUGGCUGUGAGUAUACAAGAUCGCCUGAAAGAUUUUGUCGAACACUUUGCUAAAAUCAAGCCCCAAGUGAAGUCAGCUAGAGGGAGCUGGAGGAAGAUUAAUUCAAGUUAGAGAUGGAGCCCCACCAAACCAGCAGAGUGGCUGCCAACCUAUUCUGCACAAUUCCCUGGGGGAGACAUAAAGAAAUUCAUGUGAGAUUGCA
rnacentral:lncRNA from 1 species